UACACUCCUGCGGGAGGCAGCAGUGGGGAAUAUUGCACAAUGGGCGCAAGCCUGAUGCAGCGACGCCGCGUGGGGGAUGAAGGCCUUCGGGUUGUAAACUCCUUUCGCUAGGGACGAAGCUUUUUUGUGACGGUACCUAGAUAAGAAGCACCGGCUAACUACGUGCCAGCAGCCGCGGUAAUACGUAGGGUGCGAGCGUUGUCCGGAAUUACUGGGCGUAAAGGGCUCGUAGGUGGUUUGUCGCGUCGUCUGUGAAAUUCUGGGGCUUAACUCCGGGCGUGCAGGCGAUACGGGCAUAACUUGAGUGCUGUAGGGGUAACUGGAAUUCCUGGUGUAGCGGUGAAAUGCGCAGAUAUCAGGAGGAACACCGAUGGCGAAGGCAGGUUACUGGGCAGUUACUGACGCUGAGGAGCGAAAGCAUGGGUAGCGAACAGGAUUAGAUACCCGGGUAGUCCCAUG
rnacentral:rRNA from 1 species